rnacentral:rRNA from 1 species
AUUGAACGCUGGCGGCAGGCCUAACACAUGCAAGUCGAACGAGUGGCGGACGGGUGAGUAAUGUCUGGGAAACUGCCCGAUGGAGGGGGAUAACUACUGGAAACGGUAGCUACUACCGCAUACCAUCGGAUGUGCCCAGGUGGGAUUAGCUAGUCGGUGGGGUAACGGCACACCUAGGCGACGAUCCCUAGCUGGUCUGAGAGGAUGACCAGGCCAACUGGAACUGAGACACGGUCCAGACUCCGCCGGGAGGCAGCAGUGGGGAAUAUUGCACGAUGGGCGCAAGCCUGAUGCAGCCAGGCCGCGGGUAUGAAGAAGGCCUGCGGGUUGUAAAGUACUUUCAGCGAGGAGGCGUUACUCGCAGAAGAAGCACCGGCUAACUCCGUGCCAGCCGCCGCGGUAAUAC